GACGAACGCUGGCGGCGUGCUUAACACAUGCAAGUCGAACGGUGAACCCGGAGCUUGCUCGGGGGGUUUAGUGGCGAACGGGUGAGUAACACGUGAGUAACCUGCCCUGGACUCUGGGAUAAGCGCUGGAAACGACGGCUAAUACCGGAUAGGAGCUUGGACCGCAUGGUGUGGGGUGGAAAGUUUCUUCGGUCGGGGAUGGACUCGCGGCCUAUCAGCUUGUUGGUGGGGUAAUGGCUCACCAAGGCGUCGACGGGUAGCCGGCCGGAGAGGGUGACGGGCCACACUCGGACUGACAGAGGGACGAGACAGAUACGGAAGGCAGGAAUGGGGAGGAUUGCACAAUGGGCGAACGCCUGAUGCAGCAACGCCGCGGGCGGGAGGACGGUCUUCGGGUGGUAAACCACUUUUAGUAGGGAAGAAGGGCGUCGGCGUGACGGUACCGGCAGAAGAAGCACCGGCUAACUACGUG
rnacentral:rRNA from 1 species